GAUGAACGCUGGCGGCGUGCUUAACACAUGCAAGUCGAGCGAGAAAAGUUCUUCGGAGCUUUUCUAGCGGCGGACGGGUGAGUAACACGUGGGCAACCUGCCUCAUAGAGGGGAAUAGCCUUCCGAAAGGAAGAUUAAUACCGCAUAACAUUGUUGAAAGGCAUCUUUUAACAAUCAAAGGAGCAAUCCGCUAUGAGAUGGGCCCGCGGCGCAUUAGCUAGUUGGUGAGGUAACGGCUCACCAAGGCGACGAUGCGUAGCCGACCUGAGAGGGUGAUCGGCCACAUUGGAACUGGGACACGGUCCAGACUCCUACGGGAGGCAGCAGUGGGGAAUAUUGCACAAUGGGGGAAACCCUGAUGCAGCAACGCCGCGUGAGUGAUGAAGGUCUUCGGAUUGUAAAGCUCUGUCUUUAGGGACGAUAAUGACGGUACCUAAGGAGGAAGCCACGGCUAACUACGUGCCAGCAGCCGCCGUAAAAC
rnacentral:rRNA from 1 species